UUAGCGACCUGCCCCAGCUUCGCACGGGUAGCUUGUUACAAUUUUCGUAUGGAUUUGAAAAAAAAAUAUAGCCUUUGUCACUCAGGAAUAAUGUAGCUAUCUAUCAGUGAAAGAAUUUU